GCAUAUCAAUAAGCGGAGGAAAAGAAACCAACAGGGAUUGCCCCAGUAACGGCGAGUGAAGCGGCAACAGCUCAAAUUGAAAUCUGGCCCCCCGGCCCGAGUUGUAAUUUGGAGAGGAUGCUUCUGGCGCGGCGCCGUCCGAGUUCCUUGGAACAGGACGCCACAGAGGGUGAGAGCCCCGUACGGACGGACGCCUAGCCUCUACGAAGCUCCUUCGACGAGUCGAGUAGUUUGGGAAUGCUGCUCAAAAUGGGAGGUAAAUUUCUUCUAAAGCUAAAUACCGGCCAGAGACCGAUAGCGCACAAGUAGAGUGAUCGAAAGAUGAAAAGCACUUUGAAAAGAGGGUUAAAAAGUACGUGAAAUUGUUGAAAGGGAAGCGCCUGUGACCAGACUUGCGCCUCGCGGACCACCCGGCGUUCUCGCCGGUGCACUCUGCGUGGCGCAGGCCAGCAUCGGUUCUCCCAGGGGGACAAAGGCCGCGGGAACGUAGCUCCCUUUGGGAGUGUUAUAGCCCGCGGCGGCAUGCCCCUGGGGGGACCGAGGACCGCGCUUCGGCAAGGAUGCUGGCGUAAUGGUCACCAGCGACCCGUCUUGAAACACGGACCAAGGAGUCAAGCAUUGGGGCGAGUGUAUGGGUGCCAAACCCGCACGCGAAAUGAAAGUAAACGCAGGUGAGAGCUUCGGCGCAUCAUCGACCGAUCCUGAUGUCUUCGGAUGGAUUUGAGUAAGAGCCUUACCGCUUGGACCCGAAAGAUGGUGAACUAUGCCUGAAUAGGGUGAAGCCAGAGGAAACUCUGGUGGAGGCUCGCAGCGGUUCUGACGUGCAAAUCGAUCGUCAAAUUUGGGCGUGGGGGCGAAAGACUAAUCGAACCAUCUAGAAGCUGGUUACGCC
rnacentral:rRNA from 1 species